GACGAACCGUGCAAACGUUGUUCGGAAUCACUGGGCUUAAAGGGCGCGUAGGCGGGCAGUCAAGUCAGGGGUGAAAUCUUUCGGCUCAACCGGAAAAGUGCCUUUGAAACUGACUGUCUCGAGGGAGGUAGGGGCGUGCGGAACUUCCGGUGGAGCGGUGAAAUGCGUAGAUAUCGGAAGGAACGCCGGUGGCGAAAGCGACGGACUGGAUCUCUUCUGACGCUGAGGCGCGAAAGCCAGGGGAGCAAACGGG
rnacentral:rRNA from 1 species